UUAGAUUUGUUAUAAUUGUACAUUUACUACUUAUUCCUAGACUGAACAGGAAGCUGGUGGUUUUACCCAGGCGGUCACCCAUGCUUGAAAAAUUAUCUGAUGGGCCCCUGGGUUCAUCUUUCAUCAUGACAAGCUGGAUAGUCACCAUGUGACGUAUAAUUGGCGUCAGUGUGAUGUAAUAGACUGAAGAUUAGAAUUAUCGUUUUAUGCUUUACGAUUUCAGCGGGUGCGACUGACCACUAUUUCUGGAUUGGAGGAACUGACACUGUAACUGAGGGUGAAUGGUUUUGGCUCCCUGCUGUUAAGCCUGUCAAGUACACUCAUUGGAGUCCUGCAAACCCAGAUAAUGACAACCACCAAGACUGCAUAGCGCUGUAUAGUGACGGUCAAUGGGAUGAUGGUUGGUGCGACACUAAACAUAACUUCAUCUGCGAAAUAGAGUUGAAAACAGACACUGACCAGAUCGUUGGAUAAGCAAGAAGUAUUUACAUUUGACUUGCUUUUCAUUUUUGUGGAAAUGGUGAUUUUCUUUUAAAUAAAUGUAUACCGAUA